rnacentral:rRNA from 1 species
CGAAGGAUCCAAGCGUUAUCCGGAUUUAUUGGGUUUAAAGGGUGCGUAGGCGGGCUAUUAAGUCAGUGGUGAAAGCCCCAAGCUUAACUUGGGAAUUGCCAUUGAUACUGAUUGUCUUGAGUACACUUGAAGUGGGCGGAAUGUGUCAUGUAGCGGUGAAAUGCUUAGAUAUGACACAGAACACCGAUUGCGAAGGCAGCUCACUAAAUUGUAACUGACGCUGAGGCACGAAAGCGUGGGGAUCAAACAGGAUUAGAUACCCUGGUAGUCCACGCCCUAAACGAUGGAUACUCGACAUCAGCGAUACACUGUUGGUGUCUGAGCGAAAGCAUUAAGUAUCCCACCUGGGAAGUACGAUCGCAAGAUUG